AUGGAGGCAUUUUCUUCGCCAAGCAGCGCAAUUAAUCUCGGCCCGUCCCUAGGUGCGGGGAGCCCAAACAGCGGGCAAAACUCCUUUGGGAUGAUUUUGCCCCCCUCUUUUUGCAGGCCCUCUCCCUCCUCUCGCACCCCGUGGGGCGCUGCCUGGGGGGCACCGGCAGCCAAGGGGGCGGCGGGCAGGUGCCGUGCCGAGCCGAGCCGUGCCGUGCCGAGCCGGGCAGAGGAUCGGGUCCGGCCGCCGCUGCAUUGCGGCUGGAGCCGGCGGCUCCCGGGGAGGGGCGGACGGCCGCGUGAUGCCGCGGGGGGGGCGGCUCCAUGCCCGCGGAAGGCGGCGGGGGCGGCGGGGGGCACCGAGGGGCGCGGAGCCUCCGCUCCGCCCCGGGAGGGAGGGAGAGAGAAAGGGAGGGAGGCACCCGCCGCCCUGUCCCGGCCCCGGGAGCGGAGCGAUGUUCUGGUCAAAUUGAAACUGCACAGUUUGAGAAGUGCAUGCUUAGAGACGUGAAAGAGCACAAACUAAAAGAGAAGAUCUCAAAUUAGAUUAGGUAUAAUCCUAACCCUGGAUGCAAAAGCUUGAGUUUUCUCAAUAUAGCAAAGAUGGAUGCAACUAAGGAAAAAGGUGUCCUCAUCAUGGUCCAUCUUUUUAAGUUAACAUGUUAUGCUCUUCUGUGUUCAGAGAGAAAACGAGAAGAGAGAGGUUACAUGAGCAAUAAAGCUGAGGGUGUUCCUAAACUCUGGCAAAAGAAAUGCAACUAGAUCUCACCAGUAACAUAGAGUAAAUGGAGUAAAAGAUAGUUAUGAGUAAAUGGAGAAAAAGAUAGUACUGACAGUUAUGAUUUUUUUUUUUUCUUUCUGUUUAGCUGGCAUAUUUCUGAUAGCCAAGGGAACUUUGUCAUUGUUUGAAUGCAGAAUCAUUGUUAAUUAUUUGGUGGCAAUGCGCCAUACUUAGUAUAUUAAAUUUAUACCAAUUGGUUGCCUGGCCCUGUUUAUUUGUCUGCACUUUUUCUUUAUUUUAAUAAGCCUCUGUAAAUAUUUAAUCUUAAUCAUUUGGUGUAGUAAUCACUGACAGGUAACAGACUGUUUAACUUUUCUAUUUGCUAACAUAGCUACAGACUGAAAAUAGAAGUCUCGGUCAAUGCAUCUGGAAACAUAUGGGCAAGGCUAAAUCAUGAUUCAGUGAAAUGUCCUCUUAAAUUAGAACUUUGAGAUGGAUAUAAGUAAUGUGAUCAGAUGGCAUAAAUGGAAUAAAAGGAGGAAAAAAAGUUCAAAACAGAUGCCUGGCAGCAGUCUUUCACACGCACAAAAAAUGUGUGGAAUGACCUUCCAGACAUGAUAAAGCUAUGUAGAAUUGAACAUUGGGCCAUUCAGGGAAAUUAGAAAGCAUCCAGGGUCAUGAGUGGCAAAGUAAUCUUGGAAAUGCAGGGAGAGCCAUUAAAAUAAAGUUAUUGUCAUCUGUUCUUGUAAAUAUUAAUACUGAAUUUACUGCCUGCUGUACAUAGUUUAGAUCAUCACAACACACCAUCCCUCUCCUUAGUGAAUCAUCAGAGCAACUUGUAUGGGCAGCUUGUUUAAUUUUUACCUUUUGACC
ensembl:lncRNA